GACGAACGCUGGCGGCGUGCUUAACACAUGCAAGUCGAGCGGAAAGGCCCUGCUUUUGUGGGGUGCUCGAGUGGCGAACGGGUCAGUAACACGUGAGUAACCUGCCCUUGACUUUGGGAUAACUUCAGGAAACUGGGGCUAAUACCGGAUAGGAGCUCCUGCUGCAUGGUGGGGGUUGGAAAGUUUCGGCGGUUGGGGAUGGACUCGCGGCUUAUCAGCUUGUUGGUGGGGUAGUGGCUUACCAAGGCUUUGACGGGUAGCCGGCCUGAGAGGGUGACCGGCCACAUUGGGACUGAGAUACGGCCCAGACUCCUACGGGAGGCAGCAGUGGGGAAUAUUGCACAAUGGGCGGAAGCCUGAUGCAGCAACGCCGCGUGCGGGAUGACGGCCUUCGGGUUGUAAACCGCUUUCGCCUGUGACGAAGCGUGAGUGACGGUAAUGGGUAAAGAAGCACCGGCUAACUACGUG
rnacentral:rRNA from 1 species